UACGGGGGGAGCAAGCGUUGUUCGGAUUUACUGGGCGUAAAGGGCGCGUAGGCGGCCUCCGCAAGUCGACUGUGAAAUCUCCGGGCUUAACCCGGAACGUUCAGCCGAUACUGCGGGGCUAGAGUGCAGAAGGGGCAACUGGAAUUCUCGGUGUAGCGGUGAAAUGCGUAGAUAUCGAGAGGAACACCUGCGGCGAAGGCGGGUUGCUGGGCUGACACUGACGCUGAUGCGCGAAAGCUAGGGGAGCGAACGGG
rnacentral:rRNA from 1 species